UAAGAAAUUUACUAAAAACCAUACAAUUACAUGGAAAUUGAAUAACCUGCUCAUGAAUGACUUUGGGGUAAUUAAAGAAACUAAGACAGAAAUCAAGAAAUUCUUUGAAACUAAUGAAAACAAAGAUACAACAUACCAGAAUAUCUGGGACACACCUAAGGCAGUGUUAAGAGGUAAAUUUAUAGCACUAAAUGCUCACAUUAAAAAGUUAGAAAGUUCUCAAUUUAGCAACCUAAUAUCACAAUUAAAAGAACUAGAGAACCAAGAGCAAACCAAUCCUAAAGCUGGCAGAAGACAAGAAAUAACCAUAAUCAGAGCUGAACUCAAGGAGAUUGGAACACGAAAAACCAUUAGAAAGAUCAAUGAAUCCAGGAGGUUUUUUCUUUUUUUGAAAAAAAAAGUUAAUAAAAUAGAUAGAUCAUUAGAAAAACUAAUAAAGAAGAAAAGAGAGAAGCUCCAAAUAAACACAAUUAGUAAUGGCAAAGGCAAUAUUACUACUGACUACACAAAAAUACAAAUAACCAUCAAAGAAUAUUAUGGACACCUCUAUGCACACAAAUUAGAAAAUCUAGAAGAAGUUGAUAAAUUCCUGGACAUAUACACCCUUCCAAGACUGAGCCAGGAAGAAAUUGAAUCCCUGAACAGACAAAUUAUGAGCUCUGAAACUGAAUCAGUAAUAAAUAGCCUACCAACCAAAAAAAAAAAGAAAAGCUGGUACCAUUCCUACCGAAACUAUUAAAAAAAAUUGAGGAGGAGAGAUUCCUCUCUAACUCACUCUAUGAGGCCAGCAUCAUCCUGAUAUCAAAACCUGGCAGAGACACAACAAAAAAAGAAAACUUCAGGCCAAUAUCCUUGAUGAACAUUGAUGCAAAAUUCCUCAACAAAAUACUGGCAAACCAAAUCCAACAGCACACCAAAAAGCUUACUCACCAUGAUCAAGUAAGCUUUAUCCCUGGGAUGCAAGGUUGGUUCAACAUACACAAAUCAAUAAAUGUAAUUCAUCACAUAAACAAAACUAAAGGCAAAACCACAUGAUUAUCUCAAUAGAUGCAGAAAAGACUUUUGAUAAGAUUCAACAGCACCUCAUGUUAAAAACUCUCAACAAACUAGGUAUUGAAGGAACAUACCUCAAAAUAAUAAGAGCCAUCUAUGGCAAACCAACAGCCAACAUCAUACUGAAUGGUCAAAAGCUGGAAGCAUUCCCCUUGAAAACCAGCACAAGACAAGGAUGCCCUCUCUCACCACUCCUAUUCAACAUACUAUAGGAAGUCCUGGCUAGAGCAAUCAGGCAAAAGAAAGAAAUAAAGCACAUCCAUUUAGGAAGAGAGGAAGUCAAGCUAUCCCUGUUUGCAGAAGACAUGAUUCUACAUCUAAAAAACCCCAUAGUCUCAGCCCAAAAGCUCCCUAAGCUGAUAAACAACUUCAACAAAGUCUCAGUACUUUGUACAAAAUCAUUAGCAUUCCUAUACACCAACAACAGCCAAACCAAGAGCCAAAUCAGGAAGAUAUUCCCAUUCACAAUUGCCACAAAAACAAUAAAAUACAGCUAAGGAAUACAGCUAGGAAUACAGCUAACCAGGAAGGUGAAAGAUCUGUAUAAGGAGAACUAAAAACACUGCUCAGAGAAAUCAGAGAUGACACAAACAAAGGGAAAAACAUUCUAUGCUCAUGCAUCAGAAGAAUCAGUAUCACUAAAAUGGCCAUACUGCCUAAAGCGAUUUAUACAUUCAAUGCCAUUCAUGUCAAACUACCAAGGACAUUAUUCACAGAACUAG
rnacentral:lncRNA from 1 species